rnacentral:rRNA from 1 species
GGAUUUGUUCAUUGGUCAGGCUUUACUGUCUGUACUGGUGUGACGAAUUCCUAUCUUCUGACGAAUUUUCAUGCCAUUCAGUUGGUGUGGAGGGGAAUCAGGACUGUUACUUUGAAAAAAUUAGAGUGUUUAAAGCAGGCUAUUGCUCAAAUACAUUAGCAUGGAAUAAUGAAAUAGGAC